UCUGAGAGGCACACAUUUCAGGAGACAAUCAAAGGCAAUAGUACUGUCUCCUUAUCCUGUUGCCCUUGAUCAUGGUUUUAAACAUAUGUCAUUAUUCCCUUUCUUUUUACUACUCUUUUCUGAAUCAUUUACUCAUGUCUACGUGCUGCAGAAAAGACUGGCAAGUUUGCCCGUGUCUCUUGGCUGCCCAAGCUAAAAGUGCUUGUAUUUCACGUUACGGUUAUUCUAGCUCCAUCUACAGCUGUGGAGCUACCCUGCAGCUUGAACAGCUUAGGCACAUCAGAAUACAAUACAACAGAAGCUGAAUGGAACAGAACUCGCAAUAUCUCUGAGAUCUGCCUGUGCAUUAAGGCCUGGUACCAUUUUUAGGCUUCAAGAGGACUAGAGAAAGGGCAAGCACACUGCCUUCAGCUCCAGCUGUACCUUUUAUCAGUAGGAUGCAACAUGUUCAGUGGUGAAAGGGCUCCACUCUCUACUUUGAAAUAAUAGCUGAAUUCCUAUCAUGGUUUAUUUUGUUAAGAGGUGAAAAAGAGCAGAAAAAAGGAAAUUUGCUUUAAUCAUGCUCCUUAGGGAAUAUCUCACCAUAUAAAAAUCACAAGAUAGCUUUCUCUCUUCUCAGGCUUAUUAAUAAUCCUUUUAGAAUACAUUUAGGUUUGGAGAAAUAAUUCAUACUCAAAAUAAAACCUAAUGACCUACUGUGGAUUAUAUACCUAUUGUGUGUUCAACAUAUACACAGGAGGAGAGAGAAGAUAAAGUAACCUUGGAGGGAGAGGGGAGAGGUCU